rnacentral:lncRNA from 1 species
CUUGUAACAACAGCAACAACGAAAGUACGCAACGAGGAACAAAGACAAUCUUAUCUUAUCAGAGAAAAGAAAGGAAGAAAAUGCAGUCAGCAAAGGACGCAGCAGCCUCAGCAAAGGCUGGCAUGGAGAAAACCAAAGCCACUGUUCAAGAAAAGGUUCCCUACACUUUUCUUUAUUUUGAUAUUGCCAUUAUUCAGGUGUAUUUAUUAGUUAUAGUGGACGGAGUAUUAAGUUUUAAACUUAUAAUUGCUAAAGUAUAAUGUAUUCAAUGAACGUUUUAAAAUCUGAAUUAUUGAACUUAAUUAUAUAUCUAAUAGUACAAAGUUUUGGUUUCUUAAAAAUGAGCAGGCGGAGAGGAUGACUACUAGGGAUCCACUGAAGAAAGAAAUGGCGACGGACAAGAAAGAGGACAAGAAAGCAGCAGCAGAGCUGGAAAAGAGAGAGGCCAAAGAACACAAUGUAGCUGCAGGACAUGGAGUUCAACAUCCCCAUGUUGGUGGAGGAACUGGCACUGGUUAUGGGACUGGCUCUACCUUUUAGAAAAAUGAAGCUCUGGGUAUUCCCCCAACUUUCAUUAAUGUAAUAUGGCUGUUUUUUUUUUUUUUUUUUGUAUGGUUAAGAGGGGUUACUAUCCCGCUUGUAUGUGGAUGUUGGUGUUGGCUUUUAUGAUCGACGACACCAAAUUAUAUAAAUAAAGUGACCUUCCUGUGUCUUCGUCUAUAUUUUGUCUAUUAAUUCCUUCCUUGUGACUUAUGACUUUUGCCCUAUCCUCCUAUAAAUCUACGAGAUGGGCUUAAGCGGAUAAGAGUAAGAAUCUAGGUGCAUCUGGUAUCACGCACAUAUCUUCCUCGUAUACUAUGGUCACUAGCUAGAGCGAUACAUACAUACGUAUAUACAUAUACAUACAUAUUGUUACGGAAGUCAAAUAUUGUUACGGAAAUCAAAUGUAUAUAGUGUGAAUGAGUCACAAUUGCUAUACAAAAAAUUAUGACAGCCACCAAAUAAUAAAUAAGACAAUAAAGCAGCAAUAAAAUGACAGCUACCAAAUAAUAAAUUAAUUUUUACAAGUGAAAUAAUACUAAAGAGAGGAGAUACAAAUGCUUAAGAAGAUAAAAAAGGUAAAUGAGAGGUGUGUUUAAAUCCUAAACAUUAGGCCUAAGAAGAUAAGAAAGGUAUAUGAGAGGUGUGUUUAAAUCCUAAACAUUAGGCCUUAGGGAAAAAUUUCCAACAACUUUCUUCCUUCGCCGAUGUGGGUCAUUUUGGCAUUCAACAAAUCUCCAUCUUGGCAAAAAUUUCACUAUCUUCAAUUUUCUCUUAAUAACAAAUUUUGGUUGUGUCUUCAUCUUCAAUCUUUAGUGUUCAACAAUGUUGAUCAAAUCCAAACAAUGUUAAAACUUGACCGCAGUCACCACCUUUGUCAGCAUAUCAGCAGGAUUCUCCGUAGUGUGAAUUUUCUUCACCGUACUCCACCUUCUUCUAUGAUUUCUCGUACGAAAUGAUACCGAACAUCAAUGUGUUUCGUCCUUGCAUGAUAAACUUGGUUCUUCGCUAACUGAAUAGCACUUUGACUAUCACAAAAAAUUGUGAUACUUUUUUGUUCAAUGUCAAGCUCUUUUAACAACCCCUGAAGUCAAAUUGCCUCCUUCACAGCCUCUGUAAUAGUCAUGUACUCUGCCUCUGUUGUAGACAAAGCAACUGUUGACUGCAAAGUUGACUUCCAACUAACUGGUGCUCUUGCAAAGUAAACACAUAACCAGUAGUUGAUCUUUGUUUGUCCAGAUCACCCGCAAAAUCUGAGUCACAAUAUCCAACUACAGAUUGAUUGCCUUCCUGCUCAAAAACUAACCCAACAUCUACAGUAUUAUGAAUAUACCAUAGAAUCUAUUUCACCCAAUGCUCCUUUCCUGGAUUAUGCAUAUAUCUGCUAAUAACUCCAACAGCUUGUGAAAUGUCAGGUCUCGUACAGACCAUUGCAUACACCAAGCUACCAACAACAUUUGCAUAUGGUACCCUUGACAUAUACUCUUGUUCAGCUUCAUCUUUUGGCGACAUAGUAGUACUUAACUUAAAAUGGGGAGCAAGUGAAGUACUAACCGGCUUAGUCAUCUCAUCUAUGCCAAAGCGUUGUAGUACUCUCUUAAAAUAUUCUUUUUGAGAUAAACAGAGUUUCUUUGAACGUCUAUCUCUUAUUAUCUCCGUGCCAAGAAUUUUCUUUGCCUCACCCAGAUCCUUCAUCUCGAACCCCUUCUUAUGUUGAAUCUUCAACUUAUCAAUUUCUUCCGAAUUCUCGGAAGCUAUCAACAUAUCAUCAACAUAUAGGAGAAGAUACACAAAGGAACCAUCUUUAAGCUUGAGCAAAUGCACACAAAGAUCGUAUUUGCUUCUCUUGUACCCUUGCCGCAACAUAAACUCGUCAAAUCGUUUGUACCAUUGUCUAGAAGAUUGUUUCAAUCCAUACAAUGAUUUUUCAAGUUUGCACACUAUAUUUUCCUUUCCAGCAACUUUGAAUCCUUCUGGCUGAGUCAUGUAGAUUUCCUCCUCCAAGUUUCCAUGUAAAAACGCAGUUUUUACUUCCAUCUGAACUAGUUCCAAAUCCAACUAUACUACCAAAGCCAACAUAAUUCUAAUGAAGGAAUGUUUUACAACUGAAGAAAACACUUCAUUGUAAUCAAUUCCCUCCUUUUGAGCAUAUCCUUUGGCCAUCAAUAUUGCUUUGUAGCGAACAUCUUCUUGGUUAGGAGAUCCUUCUUUCUUUGCAAAUACCCAUUUGCACCCAAUUGCUUUCUUUCCCUUCGGGAGAUUGGUCAAUCUCCAUGUAUGAUUCUGAUGAAGAGACUGUAUUUCAUCAUUCAUGGCAAUCCUCCACAUAUCUUCUUCUGAACUUUGGACUGCGUCUUUAUAAGUGGUAGGAACAUCAUCAGCUAUAAUUGAGGUGGAACAAGCAACUGUCUCUAUAAGACGAACAUGUUUUGUUAUUGUCCUUUUUGGCCUGCUGGUUGCUAUUGAUUCAAGUUGUUGAUGAGCUUCCUGAGUUGGAAUCUCCCUCUCUACUGGCUCUUCUUCCAGAGGAUAAUCUUCAUUUAUUUCUUACUCUGCUUCUUGUGUAGGAAAAACAAAUUUUCCCUCAAACUCUACCUGCUUAGAAGCACCCUCAUUUUGUUUGGUAUCUUCUGUUACCUUAUUUACCAUAGCAGAUUCAUCAAAGGUAACAUCCCCACUGAAUAUUACUUUCUUUGUCAUAGGACACCAUAAGAGAUAUCCUUUGACUCCAGAAGUAAUCCCCAUAAAAAUAGUCUUCUUUUCCCUUGGAUCCAAUUUUGACUGUGUCACAUGAUAAUAUGCAGUUGAGCCAAAUACGUGCAAACAGUCAUAAUCUACAGCAUGCGCCAUCAAUAGCAGCAGAUGGUAAGCGAUUAAUGAGGUGACAUGCAUAUGUAAUUUUCUCAGCCCAAAAUUCUUUGUCCAAGCCAGCAUUGGACAACAUACACCGUACCUUCUCCAGCAAGGUUCGGUUCAUACGUUCUACCACUCCAUUUUGUUGUGGUGUACGUCUGACAGUGAAGUGUCGGACGAUGCCAUCAAUUUCACAGACCUUAUUGAAAUGAUCAUUUUUGUAUUCACCUCCAUUGUCUGUGCGAAUACACUUGAUCCUCCUACCUGUUUGAUUCUCCACCAUCGUCUUCCAUUUGAGAAAAAUUCCGAACACUUCAUCUUUUCUCUUCAUUGUAUAUACCCACACUCUUCGGAAAAAUCAUCAACAAAGGCUACUAAAUAGUGCUUCCCACCCAAUGAAGGUGUUUUGUAAGGACCCCAAACAUCAGUGUACAUAAUCCAAAAUGCCUUUAGUAUUAUGGAUCGUUGUACCAAAUUUAACCCUUGUCUGUUUUCUUUUGACACAAUGCUCGCAAAACUCCAAAUUGCAAACCUUUACUCCUUUUAACAACCUUGAUCUAAUAGAGUUUUCAAGGAUUUUCCUCCAGCAUGUCCCAAGCACAUGUGCCAUAGCUUGGUUGCUUCUGCCUUUUUUUCGUCAUUGGAUGUUACUGUCGCUGUCCCAAUAACUGUACUAUUGCGAUAAUGGUACAUGUUAUUGUUCUUCCGAUUGGCCUUAAUUACCACUAGUGCACCGUAGCAUACUCUCAUCACUCCAUUUUCUGCUAUGAUUUUGAACCCUUUGAUUCUAGGGCUCCCACAUAGAUGAGAUUUUUCUUCCAACCCGGUACAUAUCGAACAUCUAUUAAUGUUCUGAUCAUUCCAUCAUGGUUCUUUAAUCGUAUUGAACCAAUGCCAUAUGAGGUAAGAGGGCUGUUAUCCGUUGUGUGGACGACUCCGUGUUCUCCUUCUUGAAAAUUCACGAACCAGUCCCUAUUAGGACACAUAUGAUAGCUACAAGUCGAGUCCAUCAACCAUAUGUCUGAUGAUGUUGAUGGCUCUGUUGUAACUAAUGAGAAGUCUGAAUCAUCACCAUCAGCUACAUU